GGGCAUAUGGUGUAGUUGGUUUAUCACGCUCGCUUAGCAUCUGCUGUUUGCGAGAGGUGUCCGGUUCAAUUCCGGAUAUGUCCA